AAAUUGAAGAGUUUGAUCAUGGCUCAGAUUGAACGCUGGCGGCAGGCCUAACACAUGCAAGUCGAACGGUAACAGGAAGCAGCUUGCUGCUUUGCUGACGAGUGGCGGACGGGUGAGUAAUGUCUGGGAAACUGCCUGAUGGAGGGGGAUAACUACUGGAAACGGUGGCUAAUACCGCAUAAUGUCGCAAGACCAAAGAGGGGGACCUUCGGGCCUCUUGCCAUCAGAUGUGCCCAGAUGGGAUUAGCUUGUUGGUGAGGUAACGGCUCACCAAGGCGACGAUCCCUAGCUGGUCUGAGAGGAUGACCAGCCACACUGGAACUGAGACACGGUCCAGACUCCUACGGGAGGCAGCAGUGGGGAAUAUUGCACAAUGGGCGCAAGCCUGAUGCAGCCAUGCCGCGUGUAUGAAGAAGGCCUUCGGGUUGUAAAGUACUUUCAGCGGGGAGGAAGGUGUUGUGGUUAAUA
rnacentral:rRNA from 1 species